UGGCUCAGAGUGAACGCUGGCGGCGUGCCUAAUACAUGCAAGUCGAACGGACAAGUAAGAGCUUGCUCUUAUGAGUUAGUGGCGCACGGGUGAGUAAUGUAUAGUUAAUCUGCCCCUUAGUGGAGGACAACAGUUAGAAAUGGCUGCUAAUACUCCAUACUCCUUCUUAACACAAGUUAAGUCGGGAAAGUUUUUUCGCUAAGGGAUGAGACUAUAUUGUAUCAGCUAGUUGGUAAGGUAAUGGCUUACCAAGGCUAUGACGCAUAACUGGUCUGAGAGGAUGAUCAGUCACACUGGAACUGAGACACGGUCCAGACUCCUACGGGAGGCAGCAGUAGGGAAUAUUGCUCAAUGGGGGGAAACCCUGAAGCAGCAACGCCGCGUGGAGGAUGACACUUUUCGGAGCGUAAACUCCUUUUGUUAGGGAAGAACACUGACGGUACCUAACGAAUAAGCACCGGCUAACUCCGUGCCAGCCGCCGC
rnacentral:rRNA from 1 species